rnacentral:rRNA from 1 species
GAUGAACGCUGGCGGCGUGCCUAAUACAUGCAAGUCGAGCGAACAGACGAGGAGCUUGCUCCUUUCACGUUAGCGGCGGACGGGUGAGUAACACGUAGGUAACCUACCUAUAAGACUGGGAUAACUUCGGGAAACCGGAGCUAAUACCGGAUCAUAUUUCGAACCGCAUGGUUCGAUAGUGAAAGAUGGCUUUGCUAUCACUUAUAGAUGGACCUGCGCCGUAUUAGCUAGUUGGUAAGGUAACGGCUUACCAAGGCAACGAUACGUAGCCGACCUGAGAGGGUGAUCGGGCACACUGGAACUGAGACACCGUCCAGACUCCUACGGGAGGCAGCAGUAGGGAAUCGUGCGCAGUGGGCGAAAGCCUGACGGAGCAACGCCGAGUGCGUGAGGAAGGUCCUCGGAUCGUAAAACUCUGUUAUUAGUGACGAACAAACGUGUAAGUAACUUUGCACGUCUUGACGGUACCUAAUCAGAAAGCCACGGCUAACUACGUG